rnacentral:lncRNA from 1 species
UUUUUAAUCCUAACAUAUGUUUUCUAUAUUUUAAAAGAUUUUACUUUCUACAUAAAGGUGGUUGCAAGUUUUAAAGACUUCUAUAUUCAUAAUUUAUAUUUUAAAUAUAGUAUGUAUAUUUAUGUAUAUAAUCUGUCCUGCUUUUACUAAAAGUGGCAGAUUUUAAAGACUCAUAUUUAAAAGAAUUUUUAUAGCUCCUGGCAACUCAUGUUAAAAUCCCAGUACUUGGGAGGCUGAGGCAGGGCGGUGGCUGUGGGGUUUGGAGCCAGCCUGGGCCUGGCUCUAGCGUGGGCUGUGGUGAGUCUGGUUGGUUUUUCUCUUUCCUUGUUCCAUCUUUAUUCACCGAGCGGUGGCUGCAGAAUUGAGAGUAGAGUGGAUACUGGAUGGACAGUACCGUUGUUUAGAAUGUUAAAGCCGUCACUUGGUUCUGCGGCCUAUUUGAUGGGGACUUAAGUGAACGGUUUAAACUUGGUGCUAAAACGUAACUGAUGUAGAACCUCUCACAAAGCUGCCUGACUCCUUGGAGAGCAGAAAAGGCCUGGGCAGCACUGUGAACUGUACAGCAAAGUGCAAACAAAAGAUGGUCAUAUCCUCUGAGCACUGUGAGGUGCUGUCUUUCCGCGUUUGGGCAGAGACACACAGACACUGCUCAGUUUGUUUGUCUCAUGUCUGUCCCUCCACCUUGCUACAAGGUGCACAAAGCUUGUGAGGUCAGGUGAACCUGGCUUGUCUGGUGUUCCCCUGUAUAACUUCCCCCAUUCCCACCUCCCCCAGGGGCCUGGGACAGGGCCUGCCUUCCUUAUUAGAGAGUGGGAAGGUGGUAUCUUUGUUAUUGUGUAGGCUUAUUUUCAUUCCUCUGUAGAACUUAAAGAUAACUAGAAGUUUCCCCCUCACCCCAGUAUUAUUGAACCAUUGGAAGUGUCCUGGUGCAGGGCUAAGCGACAACACCCACUCAGGAGUGGACUGUCACAGGGUGUCUGUGGUCAGCUUUAUCUGAGUCCUCUCCUCCCAACAGUGUGCCAUUGUCAGCCUCUCCGCAUUCCUGACAGGAUCUUUAGCCUGUCAGAUCGGAUACCAAGUUUUGAUAUUUCUUAAAGCAUGAAGUUAAAUUUUUGUUAAUGUUUAUAGGUAAGUAGCUAUUGAGGCUUUUUGUUUGGAUAUAUGCCAUAUUUUCACCAAUUUAACAGGUUAUAGACAAAUAUUUUUGUGCCAAACUGCAUAGCUGUGUUUAUGAAGUAAGUCAGAUGGUAGUUCGUGCCUUUCAGGAGCGACCUCCUCAGUGAGGGAAACAUGCAGGUUAAUAUUAGUUAGUGCUUAUGGCGGUGCGGGGUCAGGGUCUCACUCCGGCACUGGUUUUUACCGAGUUGAGUUAGCUUGUUAAGGAGGGGGGGGGGGAUCUCAGGCGGGGAGAGAACUGGGCACAUCUGUGGAAACCCAAGAUGUUGAGCAGGAUGGGAUGUGAGGUCUGAGCCAGCGGCAGGAGGGAGAGCGUAGACAGACAGGCUAGCCAGGUUGAGGGUGUCCGCCAACCAGCUCUGCAGUGACGGUGUGCACAUUAGAAAGUGGGAAUGGGAGGAACCCGUGCCUGUUACAGGAGAUUUGCCGGAAGAGUAAUUAUCCUUUAUCUGUCAUUUUAUCAAUGAAAUGUGAAUUUUGUAUUCUCCCUUUGGAAGCAAAUUUCUGACCCCACAGUGGAGCUAAAGUUGGUUCAGCUCCACAUCGUAGGGCCCACAGCCAUAGGUCCUGUUUCUGUACAAUUUGUGCUUUCAUCCCAGUUGCACGAUGGCUAAAGGCAAUGUGAGAAACCUUUGUUUGGCUUUGGCCGACUGGGCACACAUCCUGACUGGGACCUCUGAGGCAAAUGGGAAAACACUAAAACCUCAUUCUCUCUUGUUCCAAAACUCUAGUUUUUUUCAAAACUUUACAGAUUUUAAAAAAUAAACGAUGUUUUGAUGUAAA